rnacentral:lncRNA from 1 species
UCACCUGGUCACAGAGAAAGGAGAAAACAACAAAAGAUAUGAAUAUGUCAACAGGACCUUGACGCUGAGGAGUGUUAAUGAGAGUGACGCUGGGCUGCAUGAGGUGGAGUUUUUCAAUAAGGAUGGAAUCCUUGUACGUACUCUUGGGAUUACUCUGAACGUCACUUGUCUGAAAGGGAUCACACUGGUGUCUGGAUAUUCUGAAGGAUCAGUUACCGUGUUUCCUGAGAACCUCACAGAAACCUUUAUUGCCCCUCAUGUCCACUGGAGAAAAGGGGGACAUUCUGUGGCCAGUUUAAUAGGACCGACUCCUACCUAUUCUGACGAGUACCGAGGCCGAGUAGAGAUGACGACCAGUGGGAUAUGCACGCUGCUCAGGACUCGCAUGGAUGACACAGGGAAUCACACUCUCGACAUUGACACUGGACAUCUCAGAAACAGAUGGGUUGCACAGCUUCUGGUAACAGAAUCCCAGCUGGCUAUACAGCAGACAUGUUUACAGGAUGGGAAGGCAGAGUUCCGGUGCUCGGUCACACCACCCCGGACCAUAUCGGUGCUAUGGAGCUUGAACGGCAGUCUGAUUGGAAACAGUAGCGCCGAAAACAGCAGUGAGAUACCAACCUUGACGCUGGAUGAAUUCUCUGGGCUGCUCUUUUGCACUUUGGAGGAAUACGACAGGCUGAAUGUCUCUGUGUCAUUUUCAUGUAUGAGCAACAAAUCAGGC